GUUGUAUAGUUAAGUGACUAAGCGUACAAGGUGGAUGCCUUGGCAAUCAGAGGCGAGGAAGGACGUGCUAAUCUGCGAAAAGCUUGGAUGAGUCGAUAAGAGGCGUUUAAUCCAAGAUGUCCGAAUGGGGAAACCCAGUAGAUGAAGAAUCUACUAUCACUUACUGAAUCCAUAGGUAAGUGAGGCAAACCGGGAGAACUGAAACAUCUAAGUACCCCGAGGAAAAGAAAUCAACCGAGAUUUCGUUAGUAGCGGCGAGCGAACGCGAAGGAGCCUGUUAGUGAUAAUGACAGAGAC
rnacentral:rRNA from 1 species